CCGACCUCUCUGCCGCCUGAUCUGUCGGUGGUAACUUGGUUACUGACCACCGAUCACCUCUCCUGGCGAUCGUCCCCCUACCUCUCUGCCACCUGGUCCACGUGUCACCCUGCGAGUGGUCCACGUGGUUCUCUGAUGCUGACGUCAUCGACUACCGAUGACCGAUCGGAUCACAAGCCCCCCAGUCUCGAGUCGAGAACUCGUUCUCAGCGAAGAGACUAAGUGGUCGUGC
rnacentral:lncRNA from 1 species